UACGUAGGGGGCGAGCGUUAUCCGGAGUUACUGGGCGUAAAGCGCACGCAGGCGUCAGAUCAGUCUGCCGUGACAGUCGUCGGCUUAACUGACGAAGUACGGUGGAAACUGUCUGACUUGAGGGCUUCAGAGGGGACACGGAAAUUCCGGGUGGAGUGGUGAAAUGCGUAGAUAUCCGGGAGGAACACCGAUGGCGAAGGCAGUGUCCUGGGAAGUACCGUGACG
rnacentral:rRNA from 1 species